UUUCGUCUUCUCCCUUCUGGCCGUUUCUUCUCCCUCCUCUCCGCGACUCACCACUUUGGUCGGCGACGAGUUCGUCGUUUCCGGCAACUACAAGCCAACAAACCACCGGAAAGAAACCCUCUCCUUACAUUCAAUAUAACCCUUAAAUCUAUUUCUAAAAAUUCUCAUCCAUUUUUAUUUAUUAAGUUGGUGCCCAAGGCGAACCGUUUCCGGCUCAACGCCGACGAAUUGGACCUCACCGUUACAACCAAUCGUCUACCCUUCAUCUCAGAAAUCAAAAUCACCCGUUGCAUGCCUCGAUUCAUUACGGUUUAAGGUGAAUCAAAGUUUUUUACUGUAGAUUCUAAGUCCUCAACGCCCAGUUACGUAGCCUGCUCGAUUCCAAUUCUUAUUUAAGGGUAUGAUGCAAAACCCAUAAUUUCUUGGUCAGUUGGCUUCUACUGAGACUAUGCAGGUGGUACUCGGAGAAGUUUGUGAAGGGCCAAUGGGAAAAGGGGAUUGCAUUUCAGAUUGGCAGAAAUACAAAGCCUGCCUCUAUAGAUUGUAUUAAUUUUCCUUUGACUAGGAAUUUGGGGUUUCUCAGAGUUUUCAUUCGCCGGACAAUGAUAGGCGAAUCACCAUAAGAAGCAGCAAUUCUGUUGCAAACUGAAUCCGGGAUGACUAACCUAGAGUCUCAACCAAUUGAAAACUCUUGCAGAGGAAGACUCAGAAAAGAAAACCCCUCUACAUAAUGAAGAUAGAGAUGAGCUCGAGAAUAAUGUAGGAAAAUCUACAUCCCAGUAACAUGUUCAUAAUCGAUGGACAAUAUUUCGAGCGAUGAGCGGUUGAAUAAUUCCAAUCUUUUGAUCUGUGUAACAUGGUGCUAAGUUAGCCUCCUCAAACAGUAGAUAUGUAUAUGUAAAUAGCACAAGACUUACUAUAACAUGAAAAGCAGCAUAUAAAGUAUGUUAUAAAUGUAAACAACACCGUAAAUAGUAUCAGCUUUUGUAAUUGACACUAAAAAAUAUCAUCUUUAUGUGUAAACAUAUUAUAUAUAAAUAUUACCACCUUAAACU